GUCCACGCCCUAAACGAUGUCAACUAGUUGUUGGUAGAGUAAAAUCUAUGAGUAACGCAGCUAACGCGUGAAGUUUACCGCCUGGGGAGUACGAUCGCAAGAUUAAAACUCAAAUGAAUUGACGGGUGCCCCGCACAAGCGGUGGAUUAUGUGGAUUAAUUCGAUGCAACGCGAAAACCUUACCUGGCCUUGACAUGUACCGAAUUUACCAGAGAUGGUUUAGUGCUCUAAAGAGAACGGUAACACAGGUGCUGCAUGGCUGUCGU
rnacentral:rRNA from 1 species